rnacentral:rRNA from 1 species
AGGGAAUAUUGCGCAAUGGACGGAAGUCUGACGCAGCGACGCCGCGUGAGCGAUGAAGGCUUUCGGGUCGUAAAGUUCUGUCCUAGGGGACGAUAAUGACGGUACCCUAGGAGGAAGCCCCGGCUAACUACGUGCCAGCAGCCGCGGUAAUACGUAGGGGGCAAGCGUUGUCCGGAUUUAUUGGGCGUAAAGGGUUCGCAGGUGGUCCUUUAAGUCAGAUGUGAAAGAUCACAGCUCAACUGUGGUAAGCAUUUGAAACUGAAGGACUUGAGUUAAGGAGAGGAAAGUGGAAUUCCUAGUGUAGCGGUGAAAUGCGUAGAUAUUAGGAGGAAUACCAGUGGCGAAGGCGACUUUCUGGACUUAUACUGACACUGAGGAACGAAAGCGUGGGGAGCAAACA